rnacentral:siRNA from 1 species
AGAGUGAGUUUAUAUAGAGUAGUC